UCGGGAAGACAGUUGCGGCGGA
rnacentral:miRNA from 1 species